rnacentral:rRNA from 1 species
CGAGUGGCGGACGGGUGAGGAAUACAUCGGAAUCUACUCUGUCGUGGGGGAUAACGUAGGGAAACUUACGCUAAUCCCGCAUACGACCUACGGGUGAAAGCAGGGGAUCUUCGGACCUUGCGCGAUUGAAUGAGCCGAUGUCGGAUUAGCUAGUUGGCGGGGUAAAGGCCCACCAAGGCGACGAUCCGUAGCUGGUCUGAGAGGAUGAUCAGCCACACUGGAACUGAGACACGGUCCAGACUCCUACGGGAGGCAGCAGGG